rnacentral:rRNA from 1 species
ACCGGCAGCUCAAGUGGUGGCCCCUUUUAUCGCGCCUCCCCCUCUCCCCGCCUUUUUUCUCCCCCUCCUCUUAAAUCCCGCAGCUUAAAAGGGGAACUUGCUGGAGAUACUAUUAGACUUGAGGUCGGGAGAGGUUAGGGGUACUCCCAGGGUAGGGGUGACAUCCUAUAAUCCUGGGAGGACCACCUGUGGCGAAGGCGCCUAACUGGAUCGAACCUGACGGUGAGUAACGAAAGCCAGGGGCGCGAACCG